rnacentral:rRNA from 1 species
GGGUGAGUAAUGCCUAGGAAUCUGCCUGGUAGUGGGGGACAACGUUUCGAAAGGAACGCUAAUACCGCAUACGUCCUACGGGAGAAAGCAGGGGACCUUCGGGCCUUGCGCUAUCAGAUGAGCCUAGGUCGGAUUAGCUAGUUGGUGAGGUAAUGGCUCACCAAGGCGACGAUCCGUAACUGGUCUGAGAGGAUGAUCAGUCACACUGGAACUGAGACACGGUCCAGACUCCUACGGGAGGCAGCAGUGGGGAAUAUUGGACAAUGGGCGAAAGCCUGAUCCAGCCAUGCCGCGUGUGUGAAGAAGGUCUUCGGAUUGUAAAGCACUUUAAGUUGGGAGGAAGGGUUGUAGAUUAAUACUCUGCAAUUUUGACGUUACCGACAGAAUAAGCACCGGCUAACUCUGUGCCAGCAGCCGCGGUAAUACAGAGGGUGCAAGCGUUAAUCGGAAUUACUGGGCGUAAAGCGCGCGUAGGUGGUUCGUUAAGUUGGAUGUGAAAUCCCCGGGCUCAACCUGGGAACUGCAUCCAAAACUGGCGAGCUAGAGUAUGGUAGAGGGUGGUGGAAUUUCCUGUGUAGCGGUGAAAUGCGUAAAUAUAGGAAGGAACAGCAGUGGCGAA